rnacentral:rRNA from 1 species
CGAAGGUGGCAAGCGUUACUCGGAAUUACUAGGCGUAAAGGGCAGGUAGGUGGUUUGGUAAGUCUAUUGUGAAAGCUCCUGGCUUAACUGGGAGAGGUCAAUGGAUACUGCCGGACUUGAGUAUAGGAGAGGUUACUGGAAUUCCCGGUGUAGCGGUGAAAUGCGCAGAGAUCGGGAGGAACACCAAUGGCGAAAGCAGGUAACUGGACUAUUACUGACACUCAGCUGCGAAAGCUAGGGGAGCAAACAGGAUUAGAUACCCUGGUAGUCCUAGCCGUAAACGAUGCACAUUAGACGUGAGGGGUAUCGACCCCCUUCGUGUCGACGCUAACGCAUUAAAUGUGCCGCCUGGGGAGUACGGCCGCAAGGUUG